UACGUAGGGCGCAAGCGUUGUCCGGAAUUAUUGGGCGUAAAGAGCUCGUAGGCGGCCAGUUGCGUCCGCUGUGAAAUCCCGGGGCUUAACCCCGGGCGUGCAGUGGAUACGGGCUGGCUAGAGGCAGGCAGGGGAGAACGGAAUUCCCGGUGUAGCGGUGAAAUGCGCAGAUAUCGGGAGGAACACCGGUGGCGAAGGCGGUUCUCUGGGCCUGUACUGACGCUGAGGAGCGAAAGCGCGGGGAGCGAACAGG
rnacentral:rRNA from 1 species